GAGAGAAAAGGAAGAGAGUUAGAAGGUCUCUUACUCUCUUAGUAUUGCAGAGUUGCACGCUGGCGCUGGUGGUCUUAAUGACACGGCGGGAAAGGAAUGAUUUGGUGAAAAGAAAACAAAAUUCCACAUUUAUCCCUGUUUCCGUCCCUCCCUCCCUCCCUCCAAUUAUUUUAAAACCCUAAAAUAACCAGACUGAGACGUAUGCCAUGGCUUUCCAUCGCAAACAACAGGACGACGAUACUAACAUCGACAUUCAUAACACAGGCACUCCCAUUCGCUACGCUUCUUUGGACCGCGUUUACUCGGCUUGCGUCAGUUCCAGCGCCAGCGGUUCUUCCAACGUUAUGUCUAAAAAGGUAAAAGCUCGGAAGCUUGUAGUUAACCCUUUGGACGAUCCUGAUUUCUCCAAGCCCCCAAUCGUCCACGUAUACACUCGUCGAUCAAACAAGCAUCCGCAUUCUUCGUUUUUCAAGUCCGUGCUCUUUCGCCAGCCUGUGAAACAGGAAAUUUGUGAAUUAGAAGAUAAAAUUGAUGUUGAUUUGAGGGUUUUGAAGAAGAGGAGACUUGGGAGCAGUGAGUUGGAGAAAUUGGGGGUGGAUUCUAGCGUUUUAAGCUCCUUCAGUGGCCCACGCUUGAGGGACUGCAGAAAUAGUAAUAAAACUAACCAUUUUAAUUUGUAUAGUUCUAGCAAUGGUGGCAAUUUAAAGAGAAAGCAGCGUCAUCCCAAGACGAUUUUGUCUACUUCGCCAAGUACUAAACGAUGGGUGAGGCUGAGUUUCGAUGGUGCUGAUCCGAAAGCAUUCAUUGGGUUACAAUGCAAGGUUUUUUGGCCGUUGGAUGCAGAUUGGUAUUCUGGUUGUGUUGUUGGUUGCAACCCAGAGAGUAAACGGCAUUAUGUUAAAUAUGAAGAUGGAGAUGAAGAAGAUUUGAUUCUUUCGAAUGAGAAAAUUAAAUUUUAUAUCUCUCAAGAGGAGAUAGAACGCCUGAAACUGAGUGUCAGUUCUAAUAAUAUAGAUAAUGAUGGCUAUGAUUACAAUGAGAUGGUUGUGCUGGCUGCCACUUUAGACGGUUGCCAAGAACCUGAGUCUGGGGAUAUUAUUUGGGCAAAGCUUACUGGUCAUUCAAUGUGGCCAGCAGUUGUUGUGGAUGAAUCACUUAUUGGUGAUCAUAAAGGUUUAAAUAAAAUACUGGGAGGAAGAUCAGUUCCCGUGCAGUUUUUUGGUACACAUGAUUUUGCAAGAAUAAAUGUGAAACAGGUAAUUUCAUUUCUUAAAGGACUUCUAUCUUCUUUCCACCUGAAGUGCAAGAAACCUCGAUUCACUCGAAGCUUGGAAGAAGCAAAAAUGUAUCUGAGUGAACAAAAGCUUCCGAGAAGAAUGCUAUUAUUGCGAAAUGGCAUUGUUGCUAAUGUUUGUGAAAACACCUGUAGUGAGGAUGAAGGAAGUUCUGAUUCUGGUGAAGUUCGCAUAAUAGAUGAAAGGAUUCAGGGAACACCUGGAAGUCUUGGAACUUCUCCAUAUGUAGUAGGGGAUUUGCAAAUAAUAAGCCUGGGAAAAAUUGUGAAGGAUUCUGAAUAUUUUCAGGAUGAUAGGAUCAUGUGGCCUGAAGGAUAUACUGCUAUUCGGAAGUUCACUUCAAUAACAGAUCCUAGUGUUUGUAGCUCUUAUAAAAUGGAAGUGCUGCGAGAUCCUGAGUCAAAUAUUCGACCUCUAUUUAGAGUCACAUUGGAUGGAAACAAGCAGUUCAAUGGAUCGACUCCAUCUGCUUGUUGGAAUAAAAUAUAUAGAAAAUUAAGGAAGAAAAAGAUUAAUUCUUCUGAUGGUCUCAGUGCUGAUGGGGGUGUGGUGAAAAACUAUGAAUCUGGUUAUGAUAUGUUUGGUUUUUCCAGUCCUGAAGUUAUGAAACUUAUAAAGGGAUUGUCAAAAUCAAGACUUACCUCAAAAUUCUCUAUGUGCAAGUUGAGCUCUGGAAGAUGUCGAGAUCUGCCUGCUGGUUACAGACCUGUUCGUGUUGAUUGGAAAGAUCUUGAUAAAUGCAGUGUCUGCCACAUGGAUGAGGAGUAUGAGGAUAAUCUAUUCCUGCAGUGUGAUAAAUGCAGAAUUAUGGUUCAUGCUAGAUGUUAUGGGGAAUUAGAACCUGUUGAUGGUGUGCUAUGGUUAUGUAACUUAUGUUGCCCUGAGGCUCCUGAAUCUCCUCCUCCUUGUUGCCUCUGUCCUGUUAUUGGUGGUGCAAUGAAGCCUACUACUGAUGGGCGUUGGGCUCAUUUGGCUUGUGCAAUAUGGAUACCGGAAACUUGCUUAUAUGAUGUCAAGAGAAUGGAGCCAAUAGAUGGGCUAGAUAGAAUUAAUAAGGAUCGUUGGAAGUUGUUAUGCAGCAUUUGUGGCGUAUCUUAUGGAGCUUGUAUUCAAUGUUCAAACAGUACUUGUCGAGUUGCAUAUCACCCUCUCUGUGCUCGUGCAGCUGGUCUUUGUGUUGAGCUUGAGGAUGAAGAUCGACUUAAUCUUCUAUCUUUUGAUGAAGAUGAUGAAGAUCAGUGCAUUCGUCUACUUUCCUUCUGCAAGAAGCAUAGGCAACCAUCAAAUGAGCGUUUAGCUAUUGAUGAACGGGUUGGGCAAAUCAUUCGUCGAUGUUGUGACUACUGCCCUCCAUCUAAUACAUCUGGCUGUGCUCGUAGUGAGCCUUACAAUAAUGUUGGAAGAAGAGGGCGGAAAGAACCUGAAGCUCUUGCUGCUGCAUCAUUAAAGCGUUUGUUUGUAGAGAAUCAACCAUACCUGGUUGGUCGCUACUGCCAACAUGGAUUUUCAGAAAACAUAUUGCCUUCUAUUGGAGUUAGUGGCUCUAAAUUCUCUUUCAGCAUUCACAGGGAUGCUCACAACAAUAUUCUUUCCAUGGCUGAAAAAUAUAAACACAUGAGGGAGACCUUCAGAAAGAGAUUGGCAUUUGGGAAAUCAGCAAUUCAUGGGUUUGGCAUAUUUGCAAAGCAUCCGCAUAGGGCAGGAGACAUGGUGAUUGAAUACACUGGAGAACUUGUUCGACCUCCUAUUGCUGAUCGCAGAGAACACUUCAUUUACAAUUCAUUGGUGGGUGCUGGCACUUACAUGUUUCGGAUUGAUGAUGAACGAGUCAUUGAUGCUACAAGGGCUGGGAGCAUUGCACAUCUAAUUAAUCACUCAUGUGAACCAAAUUGCUAUUCCAGAGUAAUAAGUGUUAAUGGUGAUGAGCAUAUUAUCAUAUUUGCUAAAAGAGAUAUCAAGCAAUGGGAAGAGCUGACUUAUGAUUAUAGGUUCUUUUCAAUUGAUGAACAACUAUCAUGCUAUUGCGGCUUUCCAAGGUGUCGGGGCAUAGUUAAUGAUACUGAAGCAGAAGAGCAGGUGGCAAAGUUAUAUGCACCCCGUAGUGAAUUGAUACAUUGGAGAGGAGAAUGAGAGGAACCUACUUAGAUUUUAGUAGCAUUGAGAGAAAAUAGUGUUGGUGUGUCGACUUCUCCCAAAGGCAAUUAGAGGAAUCAGAGAAUCCUACUGGAGAAGUAAUUUCUUCUCUGUAGUUAACUAGAAUGGCAUGUCAUUUUAUCUAGGUGUUAUGCUUAGGCUCUAUGGUUUUCUUGUUUUAUAUUGUUCUUUUUUCACCAAGUUGGGGAAACAUUAUUUAAUCUUAUUUUUCUGCAAAUUGGCGUAGUAAUUUAUGUUAAGCAAUUUUAGAAUGUGCUUGAAAUCGAAGCGCCAAUUAAAACUAAUGUUCAAUUUACCUCUAGGGAAGCUGUGUUAUUUAGUUAGGUACACAGGCAUUAUGUGAUUACACUAACCAAUUGUAAAAAAAAACCAUUUUAUGGUUUCAAAUGAAAUGUGAGUGGUGAUAACCCUUGAAAAUUGAGUA